UCGGCCGUUGCUUCCCCUUGCCUCCAUUUGGGCCGGCCGAGCCCAAGAGGCUCACCUGCCGGCAACACGUCGAGGAUGACCAGGCUCCGGCGGUGCUGUGGAGGUUGGGGUGCGGUCGACCCUCUAUUUGGGGACUCGACCUGACCUGGGCGACGGACGGCCAACACCCCGGCGAGGAUGGCCGGCCACCGCUGCUCCCUCGCAUGUUUCUGAGCGUCGCCCAUGGGAGAAUAUCUCCAACUGCCGGCGUGCCCCAGAUGUGCAGCUUCUCACCGGCUUGCCGCCACAGCCCACAUAUCCUCUUGCCAUUGCGGUUUGCAAGAAGAUGCUCCACGUCUCUCACGAAGUGAUCGAGGCAGCGCAUCUCUCCGCUGAAGUGGCCCAUCGCCAGUGGCGGCAACCGCCCGCGGAAGAUUGGGGGCUGCUGCCGUUCAAAGGAAGUUCCAUGGUUGCCUAUUUGGAUUAGCAGGUAAAAAGAUUGUUGGGUCGAUCAUAUUUCUUUGGUCAUGCUGAAAUCGGUGGCACACAAGAUGCACAUUCCAAACAUCUUACUGAAGCUUUCUGUGCCAAGUAUAAUCUGCUAUAAUUCUGACAUGUUCUUCAGAUGUAUUAGAUGUAAUUUUUGGGCUUAAUUUCUAUUCUAGGAUGACAAACCUUCGAUCAACACUGGUCACCUGUCAAGAGUCCAGCAUCAUCUCCUAGCUCUUUCGUCUAUGAAUAUAUAGAUAUAUAGAUAACAAUCUCCUUAGCUACUGAUGCUCUUUUUAUUUAUGUUGGACAGAUAAUACCGUUGCUUCUUUUUUAUUCUUGAGUGUUAAGAAAUUUCUCAGGUAAUUCUAUUGAUGCAUGUUUGUUUUGGGGUAUCAAGAAAAGUUUCAGGGCACAAAAUAUCUCUUUAUGGCUCCUAAAAGCUUUUUGCUUUUGAAUAUUUUUCGUUAAGAUAGAACCUGCUAAUACUCGGUGCUCAAAUUAUGCAGCUUCGUACAGUCAAAUUAUGCCGCUUGGCAACCUUUACCUUAUUGUCAUAACGUGUAUCGGAAGGUCUAGGAUUUUUUAUUUUGAAGAUUGUCCAAUGAAAGACAAAGUAAUGUAUUUAAAAGGGUACGGUCUCUCUUCUUUAUUAAUAAAGCAUAACCAGUUAUAUUGACAUGUAUUUGAUCUCAUAAAAUCUUGACUGCUACACUGUUCAUUUAGGGCUUGAGUUUGGAUGGGAUUCUGUCUUUCUCCAAUUUUGUGGUUAUAAACCUACAGCCUAAAAUAGUGUCCCUGGCAUUGUCUUGGCCAUCUUAGGUUUUUCCAGAGUAAUACUCAUGUUUUUUAUGUGUAGAUUGGAUACUCAUUCCUCUCUUUUUAGAAAUAUCUUUGUGAAAUGGUAUGCUUAAAUGGGUUUGUAGUGUACCUAACAAAUCCAGAAUCUGCAUGAAUGUGUUGAUGUUUAGUUUAGCAUGUGCAGGGUUGUUAAACAACAGUCCUUGCUCUUAUUUUCUUGGUUUUGUUAAAUUCUGAAAGGUCUAUGUCUAUUCAGUGUGUUGUGUAAGAUUGAUCACCUACUGCGGAGCAUCGGAAAUAACAAGAGUUACCCCAUCCGAUCCAAAUUAGUUGAUGCAGAUUUAGGCAUUCUUGACUCUCGAGUAUGUAGUUAAAAGGAGUUGAUUUAUUUUGGUCUCAAACCUUGCUCCAUGCUCAGAUGCUUUGUCCAUGCACUGAUAUUUUUUUGAAGGGUGCGCACGAUAAAAUAUUUGGCUUUGAACUUAAUUUGGCUGCUUUGAAGAUUGAUAUGAUUUAAUUUGGUGACUAGAUCUUAGAAAAUACGACUAUGCAUGAAGCAGCCGGUACCCCUGUCAAAGCUACAGUAAAAGAGGUGAUUUUCAUUUUAUACACCCACAUGAUCAUCAAUAUGAGCUUGCAAACAUCUUUGAUCAACUUAUUAAGGGGAAAAUGACAGAUACCAUGGUACAUUGUUAUUGUUUUUCCAAGAAAAAAUUGAUUCUUUGCUUUCUACUUUAUCAACGAUAACCUGUAGUAUUCAUCAUGUAAAGAUCUUCAAACAGCCAUAAUUGUGUCAUUUGAUUCUAUAUUUUUACUACAAGAGAGAUUUUUCUUUGCUGCUUCUGAAUAUUUCAGCUUUGAAUUGAUUCAGAGAAGGAAUUCAUAUGUAUGGUGAUGUCCCUACAAUUUCCAUUUUUGGUUUUAGUCUGUAUUACCAGCACUGUUGUACUAUUCGAAAAGAAUUUAUACCCUUUUCUCUUCACGUGUGGCGUGCUUUCAGCGCGCGGUGGCGGUGUUGCUACGCGACGCGGUCCAGUGCAUUCGGUGCCUGUGCGUUUCGAUGGCAGUGGAAGUGGUGAUGGUUUUUUGCCUCAUCGGUCUUUCUGUUGUUGCCUGCUCACUUGCCUAACAAGAAUAUGUCUCGGAAUUCCUAUCGAUGGAAGAUCAUGGUUCUAUUUGCUGGGAUCUGUGAGUUUAGGAGUCCAGAUCAGGGGACUCUCUUCUCACUUGAUUUUAUUAUCGUUUACCAACAUGUUAUAUCUAUUCUCUUUGCUUUUCUAUUUGUCAAGUUGUUCAGGUGUAAUCUAUCAAUCUAUUUAUUGAUGUUCUGCAGCCUUACGCCAUUUUAUCCCGCUUUGUAGUGGCUCAACUUGUGUGUAUUCAUUUUUUUUCAAUUUCUUAAUCCUUUGAUUGGUGCGCAUAGUUAACAUGCCUUAUUCCAUUCAGAGUUGAGAGAUAAGUGUUUUUUUUUUAAAUUUGGGCAAUCCCUAUCAUAGUUACUUGAUUUGAUCAUUCCUUCAAUUUUCCCCUAUGUUGUUCUACUCUCUGAUUAGAAUUUUUCUUUUCCUCUUUGUUCCUGGGUGAUUUACAUAAAUCCAUAAUGGAAGGUUUACUUCCUGGUGAUAUAGUGGAUCAAUUUAGGGAUUAGCUGAAGGAGGGGUCUGUAUACAUCAUUAACAAGUUUUAUCUAUAUGAUCCCAAAAGGAGCUAUAGGUCAGUGUACCAUCCUUUGAGGAUCUGCUUCACUAUGAGAACUAUUCUGAUGGAGGUGGAGCCACCGCUAGAGAUUUUUCCUAUGUUUGCCUAUACUGCUCCCCCUUUCAGCAUGCUGUCAGAUCGCAUCGACAAAAUUAUACUUUUACCUGGUACAAAUGUGGCCGGUUUGAUUGUUGAUUUAUUUUAUACCCUUUGUAUUGUUAGCAAAUUGUGUUUUCUUCUGUGGUAAUUUAAUUGCUUCGUGUACAUUUAUAGAUGUUGUUGGAUUGGUGAGAAAAGUCACAUGUUUUGCCUCCAUCUGGCAAUGCUAGGAGCCAGAAAUGGCAGGUGCCGAAUUGCUUCUGUUUUUGGUUUUAUUUUUCAGACCAAAUACUUGCUUCUUCUGAUUAAUAUCUAAUUCAUACAUGCGUUAGUUCAUGAGGCGAACAUGCUGUUGUUACCCUGUGGGGGGAGCUUGCUGAUUAUUUGAUGCUGAUGGAUUGAUGGAGGCAUCAAAUUAAGAGCCCGUCAUCGUCUUAUUUGUUGGCAUGACAGUUAGACAGGCAUCAAAUUAAGAGCCCGUCAUCAUCUUAUUUGUUGGCAUGACAGUUAGACAGUACUCAGGUCAUACACUCUCGACUAUUUUUUUUGUUGCCGUUCGGUGCUUUUUUCCUUUCUGAUUUAUGCUAACUAUAAUAUUUGAUAUUCUACAUGUUUAUUGGCCUUCAACGGCACAUCUACUACAAGAUGGCAUGUUAAUAUGCCAAUUCCAGAGAUUGCUACUGUUUGGGAAAGGUCGAAGCAUAUGUGGUGGCAUAUCGAGCUGCACAAUGGAAACUAGGUUCAUGUUGAGCCGACCGUAUCAACAAUCAUAGAAAUAUCAACAUUUGAACCAAAUGAUAGCAUGGCAUGUUCGGUGUCUAGAAUUGGUCAGUAAUUCUCAGAGUACGCUACAAGAUAUUUGUUAGAAUCAACGAAGUUCUCACAGAAAAGGGCUGGUAUUAGAUAAGAUGCAAAGAAUACUGGAAGAAACUUGAGUUAGAGGAUGGAGUAUACAAGUGCCCUCCGUGCGCUACUGCUAUACCACUGCCAAGACUUAUAUUUGUUUGAGACUUGAGGAGAGAUUGUCCUUUGAAAGGAGGCAUUGUUGCUUGUGUCAAGUGUCAGAGGGCAGGCUAAUACCGUGCCCCCGGAUUUGCUUGCCAUCGUGGGAAGAGAAUUCAGUGUUGUUGUCACUCCAAGACGUGAAUCAUUGGAUGCGUUGCACACUACAGAUUGCUGAGCCGAUUGUAUGUGCGAAUGUUACUGUGCGACAAGGCAUGGAUGGUUCGGCUGCGGGUCAGAAUAAUGAGGAUCUCCCUAUUCCUCAAACUCCAAAGCAGGUUCAAGGUCCUUGUAAGACCUCAACUCCGCCACCAUCUAUGGAUCUCACGCAACAGAGUGCACCAUCAUCAGCUUCUAUAGUCGAUGAGGUAAAAUUGUGUUGUCUUAGCAGAGCACCCUGCAUUUUUGGGUUCUGUAGUGCUACGAAUUAACAGGUAGUGGUAUAACAAGCAGAGCUGAGCUACGUCUGGCAGGCUUACCGUGUAAUCUUUUCCCACCUACCAUGAUUCAAUACGUGGUCAGUCCUUUUUGUAUGGUGAAAGAGCAUAUAACAUCCCUUGACGAUCCACCAAAUGCAUUCAGCAGAGCUGUGUCCUCCUACACUUUCUCAGUUUGUCUGCAAAUGUGCGCAAAAUUCCUUGGUGGAUACAGGUGAAGCUGCUUCCUCUGAUUUUCAGUGAUCCAUCAACAAUGUCGGUGUAUUGAGAGAAUUAUAGAUUAGUGUGGCCACACGAAGUUACUAAGUAUCCUUUUCUAUCAGGCAUGUUAUCUUCUCCUCUGUGUAACAUAUGAAUGGUGUACAAUUUUAGAAAUAUGAAUAAAGGACACACUGUUCGGUCA